AAAGAGUCACUAGCUGUUGGGGCCUUCGGGCCUUGGUAGCGCAGCUAACGCGUGAAGUUGACCGCCUGGGGAGUACGGUCGCAAGAUUAAAACUCAAAGGAAUUGACGGGGACCCGCACAAGCGGUGGAUGAUGUGGAUUAAUUCGAUGCAACGCGAAAAACCUUACCUACCCUUGACAUGUCUGGAAUGCCGAAGAGAUUUGGCAGUGCUCGCAAGAGAACCGGAACACAGGUGCUGCAUGGCUGUCGUCAGCUCGUGUCGUGAGAUGUUGGGUUAAGUCCCGCAACGAGCGCAACCCUUGUCAUUAGUUGCUACGAAAGGGCACUCUAAUGAGACUGCCGGUGACAAACCGGAGGAAGGUGGGGAUGACGUCAAGUCCUCAUGGCCCUUAUGGGUAGGGCUUCACACGUCAUACAAUGGUCGGGACAGAGGGUCGCCAACCCGCGAGGGGGAGCCAAUCCCAGAAACCCGAUCGUAGUCCGGAUCGCAGUCUGCAACUCGACUGCGUGAAGUCGGAAUCGCUAGUAAUCGCGGAUCAGCAUGUCGCGGUGAAUACGUUCCCGGGUCUUGUACACACCGCCCGUCACACCAUGGGAGUGGGUUUUACCAGAAGUAGUUAGCCUAACCGCAAGGGGGGCGAUUACCACGGUAGGAUUCAUGACUGGGGUGAAGUCGUACGGAAAACCAAAAAGCGGUCCCCCCCCCUUCUCCCCGUGGGACAAAUGCGGUGAUUAACAACGGGUUUUCCCUUUCCUAUCCCGGUCUACCGGGAAAUUUCCGAACUUUACGUGGCAACGCGGGAAACUCGCCCCCCAUAUAAAACUCUGCUGCCGGUGGAUAAACAUCGUUUCUCAACCUUCUACCGGGGUAAUACGACUUUUUUUCUUCCCAAAACAGCGGGCCG
rnacentral:rRNA from 1 species